rnacentral:rRNA from 1 species
CUGACCCAGCGACGCCGCGUGUGGGAGGAAGCCCUUCGGGGUGUAAACCACUGUCAGAGGGGACGAAAGAAUCGCGGGUAAACAAUCCGCGGAAGUGACGGUACCCUCAAAGGAAGCACCGGCUAACUCUGUGCCAGCAGCCGCGGUAAUACAGAGGGUGCAAGCGUUGUUCGGAAUUACUGGGCGUAAAGCGCGCGCAGGCGGAUCCUGCAAGUCCGAAGUGAAAUCUCCUUGCUCAACGAGGGGGCUGCCUUGGAUACUGCGGAUCUGGAGACCGGUAGAGGCUGGUAGAAUUGCAGGUGUAGCGGUGGAAUGCGUAGAGAUCUGCAAGAAUACCCGUGGCGAAGGCGGCCAGCUGGGCCGGUUCUGACGCUGAGGCGCGAAAGCGUGGGGAGCAAACAGGAUUAGAUACCCUGGUAGUCCACGCCGUAAACGAU